rnacentral:rRNA from 1 species
UACGUAGGUGGCUAGCGUUGUCCGGAUUUACUGGGCGUAAAGAGCGCGCAGGCGGUCGUUCAAGUCGAGUGUGAAAGCCCCCGGCUCAACUGGGGAGGGUCACUCGAUACUGAUCGACUCGAAGGCAGGAGAGGGAAGCGGAAUUCCCGGUGUAGUGGUGAAAUGCGUAGAUAUCGGGAGGAACACCAGUGGCGAAGGCGGCUUCUGGCCUGUUCUUGACGCUGAGGCGCGAAAGCUAGGGUAGCAAACGGG